UGAGGAAUAUUGGUCAAUGGUCGCUAGACUGAACCAGCCAAGUAGCGUGCGGGAUGAAGGCCCUCCGGGUCGUAAACCGCUUUUAGACGGGGAUAAAAGGGCGUACGUGUACGCCGUAUUGCAUGUACCGUCAGAAAAAGGACCGGCUAAUUCCGUGCCAGCAGCCGCGGUAAUACGGAAGGUCCGGGCGUUAUCCGGAUUUAUUGGGUUUAAAGGGAGCGUAGGCGGACUUUCAAAUCAGUGGUAAAAUCGUGUGGCUCAACCAUACUUCGCCAUUGAAACUGGAAGUCUGGAGUGCACACAGGGGUGCCGGAAUUCAUGGUGUAGCGGUGAAAUGCUUAGAUAUCAUGAAGAACUCCGAUCGCGAAGGCAAGUGCCCGGGGUGCAACUGACGCUGAGGCUCGAAGGUGCGGGUAUCGAACAGGAUUAGAUACC
rnacentral:rRNA from 1 species